rnacentral:rRNA from 1 species
AUUGAACGCUGGCGGCAUGCCUAACACAUGCAAGUCGAGCGGAGCGGCGGACGGGUGAGUAAUGUCUGGGAAUCUGCCUCGUAGCGGGGGAUAACUACCGGAACCGGUAGCUAAUACCGCAUACUAUCAGAUCCGCCUAGGUCGGAUUAGCUAGUUGGUGGGGUAAAGGCCUACCAAGGCGACGAUCCGUAGCUGGUCUGAGAGGAGGAUCAGCCACACUGGAACUGAGACACGGCCCAGACUCCUACGGGAGGCAGCAGUGGGGAAUAUUGGACAAUGGGCGAAAGCCUGAUCCAGCCAUGCCGCGUGUGUGAAGAAGGUCUUCGGAUUGUAAAGCACUUUCAGUAGGGAGGCGUUACCAGCAGAAUAAGCACCGGCUAACUACGUGCCAGCAGCCGCGGUAAUUC